AGCAGCCGCGGUAAUUCCAGCUCCAAUAGCGUAUAUUAAAGUUGUUGCAGUUAAAAAGCUCGUAGUUGAAUUUCGGGGUUCUACCGUUGGUCGGGCUUUGUCUGUACUGGCGUGUAGAAUUUCUACCUUCUGGGGAACCAUUAUGUUAUUAAUUUAGCGUAGUGGGAAACCAGGACCUUUACCUUGAAAAAAUUAGAGUGUUCUAAGCAGGCUUAUGUCUGAAUACAUUAGCAUGGAAUAAUAAAAUAGGACGGUGGUCCUGUUUUGUUGGUUUCUAGGACCGCCGUAAUGAUUAAUAGGGAUAGUCGGGGGCGUCAGUAUUCAGCUGUCAGAGGUGAAAUUCUUGGAUUUGG
rnacentral:rRNA from 1 species